rnacentral:ncRNA from 1 species
AUCAGAGGCCCUGGCAAGGGCCUUCGAGCCGCGCUCUAACUUACCCACCUGAGCCGACUCGUGUCUGUACAGCCCACAAGGCAGUUUGACGAGGUUGCGACUGGAACGAAGUUGUCCCGAGGGACGGAAGCGCAUCAUGAGGCACCCGGCAGCACUGUCACUGCAGCUCGGCAACCACGAGCCACCCUGCAGCGAACACCUCGCCUACGCCUGCUCACUUCCCCUCUUCGAGCCCCAUCGUUC